GACCUUUCUUCCAUUACCCCCAACCUAAAUACAGAGACAAAAUGAAAUCUUGGCCCCUUUCUCCUCUUUCUUCUUCCUCUUCCUCUUCUUCAAUCUUUGGAUAGGAGGCAGAGCCCCUUCACCUGCGCAUCUCCAAAUUCCCAACCCAGCACUAUAUUUAUUUUUAUUUUCCCUGUUCCGUUAAUUGCACCCGUUAAGCGAUCAGAAUUCUUAAGAACUAUUUUUCUUAAAUGGCAUCCAAAUUUGGGUUAGCGGGUGGCAUUGCGGGACGGCGGGUCCGACCCAUUUGGGAUGCCAUCGAUUCUCACUAGUUCAAGAACGCCCUCAAGCACUCCGCGAGUCUUCUCACCAAAUACCCAAAUAAUCCCUGUGCUCUUGUAAGUUUGUCAGCCCAUCCCCGCUUAUUUUCUUUUUAGUUUCAUUUUCUUCAUUAUUUAUUUGUGAUAGGUAAACGUGAAUGUUGGUGAUCAGUAUUCAAAUUAUGAUUGCACAUAUUCCAUUCUUUGGAUAGUAUUGAUGUUAAAUAUUGGAAAUUUUACUCACGUCUUGGGCGUAUAGAUGACAAAUGUUGUUAUGGUUUUAUUAGAUCACAUGUCAAUGAUAAGCUUGAUUUUAUCGUGCUAUAUUUAUCAUUAAAUGAUACAUAUGUAACUUCUGAAUCGACAUCCAAUUUGUCAUUUGCCAGGGUCCUAACUGGUAAGUCUAAUCACGUGGUGGCGUUAUACCGGGAAAAUGGAAGUAUUGGAAUAUAUGAUGCAUUGCGUUGAUUUCUGAUUUAACUAUACAAGUUAGUACUUGGAUACCAGAUUAGUCGCAAGUCAGUGAUUGAGUCAAUAAUAAGCUCAUCAUUGAUAUUCAUGGACCAAAGCCAAACAACUUUAGAUAAUAAGUUCCUAACAGAUCCCGGAAUUACUCCUAAUGAAAGCACAAACCUUGUAAUGCUCCUCAAGGCUGGUUUUGUUUUCCGUCUAUUUUCUAUAUGCCCAAAUGAAGCUAGGCUUUUCUUCUUUAUAUGUUGUACUUGGCUCAUCCAGGCCCUCCCCUCAUCGUUGCAUGUGAUUUGUUGAAUGAGAUGAAGAAGAUGGAUUGGGUUCCUUCUGAGGGUACAAUUACAAAUGUGAUUAUUACAUGUGUGAAGCAGAGGAAUAACUGAGGCGUUAAAGCUUAAGGAUGAGAUGAUAAGUAGGGGAUAUACGAUCAAUUUGGUUGUUGCUACAAGCUUGAUGAAAGGGUACUGUCAGCUAGGAGAUUUAAACAGUGCUUUAGAAUUGUUCGAUAAGCUUGAUUCUUGGAAAUUGUAGGAAAGGGAACAUGGAUAUAGCAUUAGACUUACUAUGCAAGAUGCUACAAAAGAACUUGAAGGCUAAUCUCGUCACAUAUGGUAUAUUGAUAGAAGGAUAUUUCAAGAUAGGUGAGUGUGAACAAGAUAGAUGGAUAACACAUAUAUGUGAUUUGGAAUGCCGCGCUGUGAUUUGGCAUAACGUGUGUCCACAGCAAUCAACUCAUGGGAGCCUUGCAUGUUAGGAUGAUGUAAUUCACAUCACUAAAUUAUCAGGAAUGUCUUUUAUUUCAAUUGGUAAAGUCGGUGUAAUAUAGUGCUAAUAAUUCAUUAGAGGGCUAAGGUCCUCUUCGUAUGAGGAUUUCCAACUUGAAUCAUGUUGCAUGACUUAGCUUAUAGUAAACUAAUUACUCUAUUUUUUGGAAUGUUUAAUGGCAUGAUGAUGCUAUGUGUCCACAUAAGUGACCUUUGUUUGCAAGUGAUGAAUGAGAUGUGAUUUUUCAUUGAAUGGUGUCUUGUAUGUGAUAAAUGGAACGUCUUUUUAUUAUUAUUAUUAUUAUUAUUAUUAUUAUUAUUAUUAUUAUUAUUAUUAUUAUUAUUAUUUAUUUAUUUAUUUAUUUAUUUUGUGCUUUGGAAAUGUGUCUUAUUUUCUACUGCAUCAAUUCCAUAUCUAGCAGGCUCAUCAUAAUAGCAAAACAAUGUCUAGAAGGCCCACUUCCACUCGUCACCUUACAGACAGUGGGAGCAAUCCAUUUGUGGGUUCAUUGCAUCCCAAAUCACGCCCAUCUCCUCUAUUAUCUAUAGGGCAUCUUUCUGUGGUAAGAGGUGGUGUCGUUAUCUUGACUGGUAGGAGGUGGUGUCGUUGGCAGGGUUGCCAAUCACAAACCUAUGUUGGACACAUUAUCAGUGCUGGAAAAUAAUGAUCAAGGAUUCCUCUUUAUCUUCUAGUAUCUACGUUAGCACACAUGAUUAGAUACUGGAACACUUGUAUCUUUAAUGUGAGUUUACCGAAUUGUUUAUUAUGAUUUGAUCUCAAAUUAAUUAAUUUCGAUCAGGGAAGGGCAGCAUAGAUUUUCUUGAUGCCAGCCUUGUAUGUGAAUUUCAUGACCAGUUGAGCACGGAAAAAUGAGUAAAUUUAAUGUGCUAAUAUAAAUUGAAGACAUCUCUGCAUCCAAUUGAGUGAUUGAUGAGUACUUAGAGAAUGCGGUCAUGUCAUAUUCAUUUACACUUGGUAUGUUUAAGUCAUUUUAUGUUGUAUUUAUACUUCCACAAGCUAACAAUUUUCCCUUUCAAGAUGUUUGAUAUUAGUAAUUUUACGCUG
rnacentral:lncRNA from 1 species